rnacentral:rRNA from 1 species
ACCCGCUGAACUUAAUCAUA